CCAUGCAGUUGCUACAGUUUUAGAUCAUCUGUAAAGUCUUAGGUAAUGAACACGUCAAGCCUAAUGGAUAGACUGUCGUACAUCUAUCUGCUGAUAUUCAUGUGUUUUACAUUUGUCUGCACCUAUGGAAGUGCUCAAGAGUCGACAAGUAAAUGGGGGAGAUGACAAUAACAUUUGCCUGUUUUAUGUGUUUAUGUUUUAUUGUCAGUAAGUUCCUUACUCCAGUUUUGCAAGAAAAAAUAAACUAUUUUUGUCAGCAAAUAAUGCAGUUUCUGUCACAGCCGUCUGUGAUUUAGCCCUGCUGUAGUUGGUCAUGUGAGACUAGUUUUAAUCGCAUAAACUUUUAAAACACAACUUAAAUAACUAACUCAACUAACUAAUUUAAACAAUGAAUAACAGUUAAAUCACCUUGAUUGCUGCUCUGCUGAUUGAACACUUCACAAUAAAUCACUGACUGCUGCUUUGUGACUGAAAAAAAAUCUGACUCUGAAUCUGUUUUACUAACGCUUUCCUUACAUCCAUCUCCAUCGUUCUUAGGAACUAAUCAAAGCAGUUACACCUCUGACAACUCUACCACUUCUCCUCCUCCUAAAGUUUAUGGUAAACUCAUUUCCCCCUUUUUCUCUCCAGCUAUUAGAAUGAGUAAAAUAUGAAAUAAGAUUAUUUAUAUUAAGUAAGAUGAGUGAAGGCACAGGAAGUUGAACACAACAAUUUACAUUUCUAUCCUUCCUUUCCUUAUUUCAGACAUGCAAGCACUUUUUUGUUGAAAUGAAUUGAAAGAAUAUAAAAAUAUGCUUUAAAACAAGUUAUUUCUGAAGAAGAAAGGUUUAGUCAUUAUUUUUAGUUUAUUUUGAAAUGUAAUUGUGAAUUAUUAAGAGGCUAUACCAAAUUCAAAGUUUGCCACUUUAAAAAUUAUUACAAAACUUUUUUCAUUCAGUAUAUCUUAAAAUACAUGUUUGGAUUUUGUUAGCUUUGCAUUGUUGUUCUUGGUAAUUUUAUUUUGAAAGGUCAUAGUUUAUUUCAAAUGAAAUUUUAUUAUUAUAAUUUUAGACUGUUAUCACAUAUUUAAUCCAAAAUAAUUGCUAAGAAGGUUUCCUCAUGGAACAAAUCUUACAUUACAUCUUUCUGUAUGGGCAUAUUUACAGUUAUAAACAUAAAGCAACUAUAUAAUUUAUUUUAGAACUGUGUUUUUAUACUGUAUCAUGCUUUGGGGCAAGGGCUAACCUGCAUAAUAAACUGUAAAGCAACACAAAACGGCAUAAUGUAAAGCUUCCAAGUUUAACGUUGAUAACAUUAUCGAUCCAUCCUUGAGCUUAAGUUUUAAUCCUAGUUUCAAGAAUCCUAGUUUGUAAAUUAACAUUACCGGCCCUCAUCGAGAAUACAAUCCGAAGCAAAAUGGUUAUCGCACACAUUUAUAAGUUUUACAGUUGUUGUCAGGACGUUUCCAUCAAAAAUAAAGUUUAUCCACUCUGUCUUCGCUUCCUCUGGUGGUGGGAGUAGAUGAAGAUGUUUGUGUUGAUAAUGCAGCCAACAACAGAGAAACUGGCAUGCUUUGCUCGUUUCCUUUGUGUUACCGGAGUCGGCGUUAGCAAGAAAAUAACCAUGGCAGACAGCGAGGUGGAGUCACUAUGUAUUCACUCUUUGAUUGGAUUAAAUGUUGGAGGGAUUUGUUUUUGCCUGCUUUAUUUAACCUAAUGUCUUAGAGUGGAUGGGAAUGAUUGAAAUGUCUUUUUACUGUAAGGGGCCGUUCAGAUGUUGCGUCUUUUGCUCGCACAAAUUCGUCAUUUUCAAUGGAGAGGCGCGACAAUGGUGCUCAAAGAGACACCAUUACGGCACACAUGCGUCGCGACACUCUUGUAUUUGGGGCGUGGUGCACCGAGAUGGAAAAUCUCAACUUUUUCGAAUACAGCUGGCACACCGCAGGUCUUGAGACAAGAAUUAA